UGAUGCUCGAUUUAUGGUCUGUGCAAAGUCGUAAGACCAUGUAUGGGGGGCUGAUGCCCGCACAAUGCCAGAAGGUCAAGGACGUUGGUGACAUGAUGAUAGGGGAGCCGGUGAUCGAUGCCCCGGUGAAUGACGGUGGUUACCUGAUGAUAGGGGAGCCAGUGAUAGAUGCCCCAGUGAAUUAUGGCCGUAACUAUAACAGUCCUAAGGUAGCGAAAUUCCUUAUCGCGACCCGCACUAAAAGUGUAA
rnacentral:ncRNA from 1 species